AGAAAAAUGUUGAAGAAAAUAUGCUUAUCAGGGAGAGUAUACAUAAAAUCCACAGGCAAAUGAAUGUCAAUAGCAAAACAGUUACUGCAGCACAACAGUUACUAAUAAGCAAAACAGUUACUGCUGAAAGUCUGUCAAUGAAAUCAUAUGGUGGUUACAAUAAAAGGCGUAGUAAUCUCAUUCUUUUUGCUAGGUAAACUGCUUUGAAAACCUUUUGCUGGAAAGAAGUAUAACAGCUUUUCCUUUGAAAUGUAUAUCAGUGCCGAUAACCAACAGGGUAUUGUGUCCCCACACUGAAUUUUGUGAAAUUUUUGCUUUCUGUGAAAUGGCGAGUGCUGGUGCGGUCUUAGGAUGAAGGGUGCAAUAAACAUGCAAUUAAUUACUAAAUUAGUUUGGAUUGAAGCAAAAGGAUGCUGCAAAUACAGCCUCCCUGUGUCAUAGCAAGCAGAUGGCAGGAUCAACUGGGACUUCAACUAAGGAAUCUCCGGGUCAGCAUUCUGGUACCACUUAAAGUGAGAUAUCACACACUAAGACUACAGAGGAGAAGAAGAAGGAAGGGGUAUGGAGAUCCCAGGUCACAGCAAGGAUUUCUCCCUCCAAAGGUCCCACUUGGCUGGGUCAGGCGAUAAAUGCUUGGAGGCCAGAGCCUUUCACAGCUAAUUUCUGGCCUUACCUAUGUGGCUUCCUAAUCUUGUCCUUGGUGCCUCUGUUUGUCAGCCUGUUUGUUGCUCCUCUUUCUCACUAUCCAUUAUCCAGUUUGCCAGCUUUUGUAUCUGCCCACUGCUACUAAGUUCUAACCUUCUGAAAAUCCUUCUGUUGGCCUUCACAGCACUUGACUAUACUUCUGGACUAAUUCUUUUGUAGACCUUCCCAGUGCUCCAUCACACUCUCUUGCAGCUGUGGAAUGUCUCUGCCUUGCAGUCUGGCAACCUUACCAAAUCUUAAGUACUAUGUGACAUUUUGCCGCAGACCUCAAUAUGCAGUUUUAAACAGCCCAUAAAAGGGAAAAGAUUAACACUGAGUGAUAGAGGGAGAGUGAAGCUUGUGGGCUGUGGAAAAAAACACCUACUGAUUUAAUUUCUAUGGUCAGCAUGAAUUGAGUCAAGAACUAAGAAAAUAUUUUCACAAAUUUUUGUAUUGAUUUUAUUACUUGGAUUUACCUUAGAUUUGUCUUUUAAGGCCAAGGUUAUCCAGAAGUCAGACAAAUAGUAAAUAAAUUUCAGAUGCGGUUAAAAAAAACCCACCCACAUAAUAAAUAUGUCAGGCAAGCUCUAUUGGUAGCAAUAUUGAGAGUGAAUCCAUUUCUCUCAGAGUUGCAACAAUAUUAAUUGUUUAUUGCAUUGCAAACAGGAGCUGCUGUAAAGGGUUAGGUAUCCAACAAAAGCACAUCUGUAUUAUUGAUUUAUUUUAUGAAGUAGCAGUAACAAUGUGAAAGAGAACACCAGAGAGACAAACUGACUAUGAAUCAUGUAGUAUAUGAAAAGGAUGGAAGAAGACUGCUAUGAGCCAUAGGCAAAGGGGGAGAAUGAUGUAUGAUUUGAAAGGCCUGUACUGAUUCAGAUGGAUACUGCUACGACUGUAUUAUUACUUCUACUACCCAUAAUAAUAACAACAUGGCAUUAUAUACUAUAUUUCAAGUGCUCAAAACACUUCACAUACAUCAGCUUACUAAUUCUUAAACAUCCCUAAAAGGUAGGCCAAUACUAUUAUCCUCAUAUUGUAAACGGAUCUCAGAGAAAUAACAAAUUGCCUAUUGAGUUAACAACUGAGAUGAAAUAAAAAGUGGACUUUU